UACGUAGGGGCAAGCGUUAUCCGGAAUCACUGGGCGUAAAGGGAGCGUAGGCGGUUUGACAAGCCAGAGGUGAAAGGCAAUAGCUUAACUAUUGUAAGCCUUUGGAACUGUCGAACUUGAGUGCAGGAGAGGAAAGUGGAAUUCCUAGUGUAGCGGUGAAAUGCGUAGAUAUUAGGAGGAACACCAGUGGCGAAGGCGACUUUCUGGACUGUAACUGACGCUGAGGCUCGAAAGCGUGGGGAGCGAACAGG
rnacentral:rRNA from 1 species